UGGCUCAGAACGAACGCUGGCGGCAGGCUUAAUACAUGCAAGUCGAGGGGCAGCGCAGUGUAGCAAUACAUGGGCGGCGACCGGCAAACGGGUGCGGAACAACACGUACGCACCUUUCCUUAAGUGAGGAUAGCUUCCGGAAACGGAAAUUAAUACCUCGUAACAUCGUUGAGUGGCAUCACUUGAUGAUUAUAGCUCCGGCGCUUAAAGAUGGGCGUGCGCCUGAUUAGGUAGUUGGCGGAGUAACAGCCCACCAAGCCUAGGAUCAGUAACUGGUGUGAGAGCACGACCAGUCACACGGGCACUGUUACACGGGCCCGAGACCUACGGGAGGCAGC
rnacentral:rRNA from 1 species